CAGUGUGGGAAGUAAGCGUGCCACCUAUGAAGUCAGCAGUCCCCAACCCCCACCCUAAACACAUGUUCAACAUCCUCUAGGCACAGGCUGAGCAGAGCACUGAGACACAGCUGAGAAUUAGAGAGGGAGAGAGAGAGAGAGAGAGAGCAGUGAAGUGGAAAUAUGGGUGAGCGUCAGAGAAAGACAGAAAUAGAGCGAUAAAGCAGUGAAUUAGGCAGGCAGGGAGAGGAGGAGGAGAAAUAGAGGCAGUCUUUCGCUGGGGCUGUGAUGCUUUGCGCGGAUGAGGUUAUAUUCUCAUAGCAGAAAGGUAUCGUCGUGUGGGUGGAUGUGAGAACCCUCAUGGAUUUGCUCCCUUCUGAGUCUCAGUGGAAUUCAUCGCAUCUGGAUCCAAAACAGCUGUAGACAGAGGAUGCGACCGUGGCUGGGAUCUAGGAUCCAUGUGGGCCUGUGACGUAUGCGCUCCCCUCCGUGGCUAUCUUCCUCCCCAUAAGGAUGGCACCGGCAGCACUGACCCAGAUUGUGGAGUGGCGGCUCUUCGCUGUGGGCUGCUCCUUGGUUUGUCUGUGAAUGUGAAUGUGGACGAGACAUGCUCUACACCUCGGCAGAGACUUCUGAGCCCACUUCCUCUGCUGACAUCUGUCUCCGUGGAUACACACAGCAACCGACAGGCUACACCACAGUGACUGAUCCAUAAUAAUAAUCCCCAGCUGGAGAACAAACAACAUCUGGACGCAGAGAGAAAGGAGAGGGUGAAGUCUCAGCAGGGCGGGCGGCAGAUGGUGACACUGCAGCAGCACUUCUCCAGCAUGGAGGAGACAGUGCGAUCGCUACUACAGAACCAGGAUUCACUGGACAGCCCCAAGGUGGACCCAUUGGACCUUAUGAAAGCAUACAAGGACAAACUCCUGGAGGAAAUGUGGAAGCAGCAGGACAGUCUAGAGGGUCCUACAGCUACAGCAGCAGAGAUGCCUAGCUCGCCUGAGGCUGGUGGUGGAACGGACGAAAAUUCAAAGGACAGCAAUCCCCUGCUAGAGAGACUCAGAGCCCUGGAGGCAGAGAAUUCAGCUCUGUCGAUGGAAAACGACAAUCAGAGGAAGCAGUAUGAACGCUGUCUGGAUGAGGUGGCUAACCAGGUGGUUCAGGCCCUUCUCACUCAGAAGGACUUGAAAGAGGAAUGUGUGAAGCUGCGGACCCGCGUGUUUGACUUGGAGCAGCAAAACCGCAUACUGAGUGUGCUGUUUCAACAACGUGUCAAAAUGUCCACGAUUCCUGUCUCCCAGGAGGUCCAACGAAAUGGAAAAGCAGGUAUUCCUGCAGGAAGGUGGCCAAGCCUGCUGAGCCUAACAUGUCCACGCAGCAGCGGUAGUGGCAGUAGCAGUGAACUGUCACUAUCCAGUGCUUGUAGUGAGUACUCCAGUGGCUCCCACACUUGGGCAGAAGGACGUGGCUUCUCCAAGCAGUGUGCAGCAAGUCGGGACAAGAGGAUGAGUACAGGUUCGGUAUCCAGCAAUCAUUCAGCACCAAUUGAGCACACAGAACUGGGAUGGAAGGAAGGCCACAUUCUGAAAGGCCUGAAGCGUCUCCAAAUGUGCAGCUCCAAAGAGGCAUCCUCACAUGCAUCUGUACCACACUGCAAAGAUUGUAUGACCUCAAAUGAAGGCAUAUACUCCCUUGGUGUAAAGUGUGGCCUACAAGGGGCUAUAGCCAAACAAGUAUCCCCUACAAGUAAACCUCUAAAGGCUGAGAAAGGGAUUGCUGCCCUUUCUCAGCCUUUAGACUCUGAUGAUGCAGAUGAUGAUUCACCUAAAUUACAAAGUAGGGAAUCUAGUAACCAACCAACAAAAGAGCUUCUGUGCUUGGAGAAAUUGGAUGUCACUAGGGAUGACGAUGGCAAUUUUCUUCAAGAUCCAGUAAAACUUGCAGGGAAUUCUGGUCUCUUCCCCUCACCUGUGACAGACAACUUCUUAUUUUUGGAGGGUCCCAUGGUAAAACCUGGUGUAAGCCCAACAGAUAGCCUUACACAUCGAGAGGAAAAGAAUAAAGACUCACUAGAAAAACACAAAACAUCAGGCAUGAAGUACAGUGACAGAAACAAUAACCAAGAGAGGUCUACUGAUCGUAAAUCCAGACUUGAUCAUGUCAAAAGACAACAGGGAAGAUUUCCGAUCAAGCAAAUGGAAGCAGGGACAGGUGAUGUGAACUCGUCUGUUCCACAUAAUGCGGCAAGAGCUCUUAGCUUUGUGAAUGAAGCCAGACAGCGCAGCUCCUCAGUGGAGGUUCCUCAUUGCAGAGACCAGGCGAGUCAAGCUGGUGGUGAAAGCCAGGACUACGUGAUCUCAGAAUCUCCACAGAGGAAACCGAAACCUCAGCCAUGUGACUCAGCAAGGAAAGCUUUUAUUUUGCGAAGCAAAAGUGCAGAUGGAGGACCAGAGCAAGCUAAGCAUACACAUUCUCCUCUCCACCAAAAGCUUAUUAAGGGUCAAAAGUCCAAAGGGCAGUCAAACCCUACUGGGCACAGUGUUCCCAGCAAAAGAACAAAUCUCAGCAAAACACAUGGUUCAAGCAAAGGAGCAUUAUCUAAAGUUGAGAAAGAAGAGGUUAUUGAGGUAUCAACAAGUUCCAAGUCUCUUGAGAGUGUGCACCAGUGCUCUCCUCUUGCUUCCCCUGUGAAAUAUUCAAAGACAUUUAAGUCUCCAGGGGUCAAUGAAUGCUCCAAGAGCCCAACAAAAUCAUCUUUGCAAAUCACAAAACCUCAAUCAAGCAAUGACUCUGUGGAGGAGAGCAUAUAUGACAACUUACCCUGCUCUCCACGAAAACAACGACGCCAAGAUAAGCACUGUGAUGUUUCACAUUCAGAACUUAGGUCCCCACCCCCUCCACCACCUCCAGGUCGAACUACUUCUCUUCUUCUUAGACCUAGUUUUGAUUCCUUACCCGAAACUAAUAAAUCUGUAGGUCAGGCUCAAAGCUCUACUAUAGGAAAGAUAACAUCAAGUACCACCAAGCCACAAUCACAUCAGCUUUCCUCUGCUCUACAGCCUCAACAAUCCAGCACAACUAAAGACAAUCAACAUACAGCCCCACAAAAGGGUGCUGAAGGUAAACCACUGAACGAUGUGCCUGCUAAGGUCUACCAUACCCACUCAUCCAAGAUAACAUCUGUACCAGUUCAAGAAUCUCAAGCUUCAGAGUCAAGCCAGAUAUCUAUGGACAGAACAGCCACUUGCCAUGAUGAAAAUGGUGUUUCAUAUAUACUGCCAAGUCAGAGCAUUUUAAAGAGAUCCCAACAGAGCAUUAGUGAGCCAAAACUUUCUGAAGUCUUGCCUCAGGCAUAUUCUAAUGUUUACUACCAUGGGAUUUCCAACAAUUCUCAAAGUUCCACUUCGAGAGCUGUAAAAGUGGCUCUUCCUCUUAAUGCUAAAUCUAAUGAGGCAAUCACUGGACAGGAAACUAGUACCUUCCUCAUUUUUGGAAGACAGAACAAUGAUGAUACAAAUUGUUCUACAAAAAGUGUCCAGACCUUUCAGACUUUUACAUGUGAUCCACAGUGUGGAGCUCAUGAGAAAGUCCGCAGAAAGAUUGAGACCCGUUGUAACUCGUUGGAUUCUGAGCCCUCUGUUCAACCCGUUGCAUCAGACAGUGGUGUGAUGUUAGACUGGGGUUUCGAUGAGGAAGGUUGGCUGUUUAAAAGGUCUGUGUCAGUGUCAACCAGACCUCUCCUCAAGCCAGUGAUGGGCAUGAACGGGGCCAAGGCUCGUAGUCAGAGUUUUGGUGCACGCUACAUGGAUAGGCCAAGCUUCAACAGAUCUGGAAAGGUUCGCACCCAGAUCAAAACACACUCAGGGAGCUCCUUGAACUCUCUUGGUGAUGUCCUUCCAGGAAGUAUGAGUUGCUCCAGCAGCUACCAUUGUCCAAUGAAUCGAUCCCUUUUGAACAACUUCUUGAUUGAAGAGGGCCUGACAGUUCCCUCACAUUUGGGGUCCUCCAGUGAAAGACUUCAAAGUCUUAAACUCCAGCGGGAGCAAGCUAGACGCCUUCAGAUUGAGCAACAGUUCUCAAGCGCCUUUGGUGAGCCAGUUUCUGAGGAGCCAGAGAGACAAAGUACUAUUACCACAAUUGAAGAGAAAGUGAUGCUUGGCAUAGAGGAGAACUUGCACAAGUCUCACGAACAGGAGAGAGGCAAUGAUGUGAAACAAAAAUCUGGCUCAACCUUGGCAAAUUGGUUUGGUUUUCGCAAGAGUAAGCUUCCUGCUCCAAGUGGCAAAAAGACUGAUCCACCAAAGGUAAAGGAGGACAAGAGGGAGCAAAAGAUUACAUCGCUUCUGGGAGGGAAGCAGACAAAGUCUGACAAAAAAAGAGACAGGCGAAAAAGUGAUGGAAAAGACUGCUCUGUGGGAAGAAGAGAGUCUCAUGAUGCAGUGCGGGCAUGCAUAUCAAUGCCCUGUCCAGGAAUGUCCCUGAAUGAGAUACAAGGACAUCCUGAGAUCACUGGGGACCCAAAGAUGCAGAUGAUGAGCCGGAGAGCUGAUGGUGAAAAUGGAUCUACUGUGAAGAUCCCCAACCAGGAUGCAGUAAUAGGCUCCGGCUGCAAGAUGCGAACAUUGGACAGUGGCAUCGGAACCAUCCCCCUUCCUGAAUCCUGUUCCUUCUUCUCCUCCAUCCUGCACCUCCUCCCUAAAUCCUCAUCAACCCCAGAACAGUCCCUCAGUCCUCCCAGUGUCCCCGGUUCCUCCAGCGAGGACGUGUCUCCUUCCCCAUUACCCCGGUGGAGGAUACCCUCCAGCUUUAAGGACAGCAGCCAUGCAGGGGUGCCAAACUCCCUGUCCGACUCCUCCAUGACCCAUAUCCAGUCAGUGCCUUUCCCUACUGUGGCCUUCCUCCAGCCCAUCCAACCCCAGUCUGAACCCAUUGUGACCUCUGCCAGUGUGUGUGAUACCCAGAGCAGGCUACCCAGAGCGCCACAAGGUGGAAUGGAACCAAAGAAGUUGACCUACAUCAAAUCGAAAACACGAGCCACUGCGAGCCAACAGAAAGAACAGACAAGACUUCAGCUUGCCAACUAAUUUCUGAAGCUGAAGUCAACCUGAAGCAAGGAAUUGAGCUAUCAGUUGGAUUUAUCACUCUGUAUCACUCACAUGGAUGAUCCACAGUUUGGAUACUGUGGAUACUGUGAGCAUGAAAUGCUCAGAACUGGACUGAAAGUUAUCUUGGCAUGUGUGAAUAUCAACUUGCAUGCAACCACCCUCUGGCUUAUUCUAACCACAAAAUGCUUCAUAUGAAUUUUAUAUCCAUCAUCAUAUCCAUCAGUUUCUCCACAAGAGGUGAAACGUACUGACUGCAAAACUUGAUGUGCACUGUUUGGUAUUUACGAAAUAUCACACAUAAUCUGUCACUACUUUGUGAGAAUCAUCUAUAGUGAAACUGACUUUUCACGCCUGCAGUUAUUUUAAAUAGUUGUCUCAUUUAUAUAGUGAACAUCUCCUCUAGAAAUGAAACUCUUUACAUGUGAAUUGCAUUGUUUUUUGUAUUUUUUCCACAGUUAUGACAUCAGGACAAAGCAGUAAGUUUUGCAUGUAACCUUAGUUAUAAAACACCUAGUAGGCACAUAGUGGACAUUGUUGUGCUAGCUCAGGGAAAAUACCAUAUAUUGUCUCUGAUAGAUGCUGUGGAGUACAACCAUUUCAUUGCAACCAGUGAACACACCAGAUUUCACUGUAAUGGUUUAAGGAUAUUUACCUGUCCUCUUGUCUGUUUUUGUCUGUACAUUUAACUGUAAGAUAUCGCACCAUGGUUGCUCAGUUUCUCCCUUUAUUCUGUAUGCUGUGUCCUUUAUAGUAAUGUUUUUGGUGUCAUGAAUGCAUCCUGACAUAUUUGACAGUCUUAGCCGCUUUGCAAUGUCUCCCCCUCCCACCUUUGUCAGCUCCCUGCCUUUCAUGUGUAGAUAUUUGCCAAAAUGCAUAUUGCCAAACACUGCUCUGAGCUUAUCACAUAUACAGAAAAUGAAUGCAACUAAAUCUACAUAUCAGACUUGUCAUGGUGACUAUAGCCAUAUUCUUUUGAAACACUAGAGACAGUUUACAUGUGAUGUAGAACUAUAAAGCACUGUAACGUUGCACAAGACCAUUAGUUGUGGCAUCUUACUGUAUUUACCUCUUCUUUGAAUAUUUGCUCACUUGCUACAUGUAUAUGUGAGGUAAUGUUUGUAAAAUUGCAGUGGUGUUUAUGCCAGUAGCAACACACAGGUCUAUUACAUGAAAUAUGUAGCGUACACAGGUGAAACAAGGUGUUAAUGGAUCAGGGAACAGAUUGGCUGUACUGAUACGGGUAGAUGGAGCAUGGUGUCUGUGUUUUUAAAAUGGCUCACAUAAUGAAGAGCGUCACUCUCACAAGAGUAUUGUAUUUUUCUAACAUUUACUCUAAUGCCCUGUAUUUGUACUCAGCACUGAAGAGUGUAAUUUACCAUUUAUUGCACAUAUUGUUACUCACUAUUACAGUAAAUCUCCUUCUAAAUGUUUUUUUUUUUCAGAACCCAAUAAUAUCAUUGAUGUUCUUGUGUGACAGUCACCUUAGCAGUACAAAUUGAGAAUUGUAUAUUACUGAUAUUCUUUGUUUUAUGUCAAAGAAGAAAAAAUAAACUAUUUCAAUACUUAUA